rnacentral:lncRNA from 1 species
UAAUAGUAGGGUUCAUAUAUGAUUCCAUUCACAUUUAAAACUUAAACCUUACUCUGCUAACAAUUUCACUAACAUUUUACUGUAUUAAAAUUCGUGCCGUCCACAGUUUGAUAAAGUUUUUAGGGUAGGAGGGAGCAAUAAAGUUGAAUUCUUCUUCCAUCACGUGUUACAAUCUAUGAUUAGAAACUCCAAUUAAACAUUUUCUUUUACCCAAUAAACAACAUGCUAUAGUUAUAUAUAUAUACAAAGAACUUGUAUUACAUGAACAAGAUUUUCACAAACACUUGUUAAAUAAAAAAAAAAAAAAUACAACCUCUUCCACAUAAAACAUCUAAAUGAACGUCACGGUCAGCAUUUAGCAGAAACCUAGGAUGCUUCUGGAUUCUUGAAUCACUCACAUCCUGAUUCUUGUGCUUCCUACUAAUUUUAGCAAACUCCAACGUCGUAUAGAUGGUGGCAAAAAUCACCAGAAAUUCGAAUCCGAAUCUCGUUGUUCCAACCAGGAAUCUGUAGAUUCCGUUCACACUCCUCUUCUUCUGCUCAUCCAUUUCCCACAAGAAAGCAUCUCCAACGAAUUCAAUCACCUCUGCAAUAACACCCGCAUCUUCUCUCUCCUCUUCGGCUCUCUCUCUCACCACCUUUCUGCUCUCCUCACCCGGGCCCACGCCUCGUCCCUCUCUCCCUCUCUCACUACCUCUAGAGAGAGAAUGAGCUCCUUCAGAGAAUCGCUUAUGGCGAUCAGCCUCUCUCUCCCACCUGGGCUGCUAUCCGCUACGACGCAGUAUCGGCCGUGGCUCGAGCAAUGGCUGCACAACCUGAAGCUACUGUGAUUAUUCUGUCGUUGAUUUUUUUCUGCAAUUCUAAUGCUUUUGCUGUGAGAAUCUGCAGCUUCUCGUGAUUCUUCAACUCCAUUUGUAAGAAAAGAACAAUUGUAGUAGUCAAGUUUGAUGACUCUUGUUUC